rnacentral:misc_RNA from 1 species
AGGAAAUGAUAUCAGAGAGGUUGAAGAAGAGGUCAAGAAGAUUGCCAGUGAGAUCAAUACGAAAUAUGGUAAACCGGGGUAUGAACCGAUUGUCUGUAUUAACGGUCCAGUUUCUACGCAGGACAAGAUAGCUCACUAUGCGAUUUCUGAGUGUGUUGUUGUUAAUGCUGUUAGAGAUGGAAUGAAUUUGGUGCCUUAUGAGUAUACAGUCUCUAGGGAGAGCAACAGUAAUUUGGAUAAGGCCUUGGGUCCAGGUUUUAAUGGAGGACGACGAAAGAGUAUGAU